rnacentral:lncRNA from 1 species
AAUUAUAAACUCCUUAAUUAAUUCAUAUUCUCUACAUUUCAACAUGGCUUCCAAAACAACUCACUCCUCAGUUACCCUUUUCCUAUCACUGAAUCUCCUCUUCUUUGCUCUUGUAACUGGACAACAAACGUGCCCAACUUUGAGACUUGGGGUAUGUGCUAGUAUACUUAACGUGGUGAAUGUAACAGUUGGGUCUCCACCAACUAUGCCAUGCUGCAGUUUGAUCCAGGGACUGACGGACCUAGAGGCCGCGGCUUGCUUGUGCGCUGCCAUAAGAGCAAAUGUUUUGGGAAUAAUUACUCUGAAUCCGACAGUCCCUAUUAACCUCAUUCUCAGCGCCUGUGGAAGGAGCCUUCCUGCUGACUUCACUUGUUAAACUACCCUCCUAAUAAAUAAAUAAAUGUCUCGUCGUGCUUAAUUAUUAAUUAGUAUGAAUUAAUGGUGCACGUAUGAUCGAUCCUUUUUAUUAGUUGAAAUAAGUGAACUUUGUAUAGGCAAGUUCAUCAGUUAUGUCGUGUGUGAACAUGUUUCUCAUCUUCUUAUGUUACUGAAAUAUCGAAUCAAUAAAUAAAAGUGGUGUUUAUUACCUAUCUAUGCUUUUCGUAAAAUUAAAUUGAUACUAUGUUAUGUAAUCAUUUUUUUUUUACUUUCACGUCAAACAAUACAUAUUUUCUAUGUUCUAAUAAGUGAACUUUGCAUAUGCAUGUUCAUUAGUUCUGUUGUCAUCAAUUGCUUAGUAUUUAUGACAAUCUUAUUCAUCAAUUUUUUUUUUGUAAAACUUUGUAGUUAGUAGUAUAUUUUUGUCACUGAAAAGGCUAUUAUUGUCCAUAAAAUUAACUUGCCACUAAAUAUUUAUUUAAUUAAUGAUGAUAUCAAUUGUCUCUAAAGUUUCAUAUGUUUUGUAGUCAAACAAAAGUAGUUUCAUCAUUGAAGGCAAUCUUUUAUAUACGAAAGGAUAUUUUGUCCCCAAUUAUAUAAAUUACUAACGAUUUUGCUUUUACAAAAUUGAUUUAUAAUUUUGUAAUUAAAACCUAUCAUGUUGUCACAAAAAAUAUUGGUUUUAAUGACACAACAUAAUUGUCACUAAACCUUAUCGUGAUUAGUGACAAUGACAGUUAUGAUAAAAUACAAAUUUAAUUUGUAGUUAAAAAUGAAUUAUCUUAUCAUAGAGAAAAUUCUAAGACAAAUAUUUUGUGACAAAUGUAGUUAUCGAUAUACUUUCUCAUAUACUCAAGAACGUGUAAGGACUGGUUUCAAGUUAUUUCUUCAAGUUUUUCUCAUCUUCAAUCCACCAAAGCUUAAGGUAAGUUGGUUUCUUCAAGAAUCAAGUGUCUUCCUCUCCAUAGACCUAUAGAUAUACUUAGCUAAAUGUUUUCUUGAAGGAAAAAGUAUUGUUCUUGGAUAAUAAAGAAGGGUAGGGGUUGCUUUUCUUUGAUAUAUAGGUAUGAAUCCUCUUCUAUCUUCAUAAAUAGUAUUCCAAGGAUGCUUUAAGUAUAAUUUGCGGGUAGGACUCACGGGAAGGUGAUAGAAAGCCGUGAGUCCAUGUUUUACACAUUGUAUUUGAUGUUUUGGUGAGGAGGGAGUUUGUAGAAGGUUGUGUUGGCUGUUGUUUUGCCCAAAUGAGGGGUCAAUGGUAUUGUAUUGAGGAAGUAAUCUGGUUACAUUAAAAUGGAAGGCGAGGUAUAGAGAAUGCGACUAUUAUAGUUCUUGAAACUUUGUCACUCACCAAGUGUUUGAUGAAAUUCCUAAGUCGCUAAGAAUAUGUUUUAGCUGAUUAUAUGAGAUCCUAUUAUUUUAAUUUAUGGCAUUAGUUCUCUACCAACUUAAACUAUGAGCUUAUAAAGGAAUUUGACAUCGUUAACAAGGAACCGGUGGGAUGGUGAUCGGAGGCCAUGAGUUUUACUUUUAUGUUAAGUGUGGAUGAUUAAGGGGGCUGGUUCUUUAUGGUUAAAGGAUGAGGAGUAAUACUGAACAUGUAAAUAAUUCAUAAGCCUAUUUGGAAAGUAGAGAAAGAGAAGAGUGUGGUGAUACACCACUCAUCUAUGGUAAUUGUUGGGAUUGUCACUCGCGAACCAUUAUUGUGUUUUUGGUAUUGUUGUGACUCUUGAUUAGUUUCUUCUACUAUCCUUUUAUGAUUUUAUGUUAUAGAUAAAGUUGUCAGCAAAGGUGUUUGACGACGUAAGAUAGUAAGUCCCGAAUUAAGGUACGUAAAGCUAAAACCUCUUUUGCCCUUAAGGCAUGACCUAAACUCGCAUGUUGUUCCGAUAAAUGUCACUAUAGAUUCUAUGAUACUUGAAAGAAAGUUAUCCUAUUUUAUAAAUCCUCUCAUGUUGAGUCCUAAACCUAUAUAGUUAUAGUACUCUUCAAGGAAGCACUAUGUUUCACAUAACGACAUUUGCCUACAGUUGGAACUCUUAGAAGUUAGCGGUGUACAUGUUGCAUAAAUUUAAAGAAAGCAACUAGCCACAGACUGUUCCUAAGUGCAUAGGUCACAAGAUAUAUGAUUAUCAAGAUAAAGAAUGUAAUCACGGAUUGUAUCACGAACUAUGUGAUUAAUGAAUUAAUUAUUAUAUACAAUUGCAAGCAGUUGAGACUAUAGACUACUCUGCAGCGUAGGGUGGGUAUAUUUAGGGCUACUACGUGCGACGCUACUCUGUGCAUAAAAUUCAGAUAUAGUCAGCUGGAAUUUUCCGUCGUGGAUUCACCUGACUGAUACAGGCCUGCGGGGAAACCAUACAGGAGCCAUGGGGGCAUACCUUGAUAAACCUCAUUACCAGACUAUGAGAUUUCACACGUGGUCAUGAUAGUGGGCUACAGAUGCCAUACAGGGUCCACUAAUCGCCGUAAGUAGGCCAUCAUGUGAUUCACUGACAGUUAGUUUUACAAAGAGCAAAAAAGCGAUAUAAUGAAGUAAAGAUAUCACUUAGGCAAAUUAUAGGGAUUAUAUAUAUAUAUAUAUAUAAAUGACUAAGCCAUGAAAUGUUCGAUGUGGACCCUUGAGGUUGGUCACAAUUCCAGUUAUAGAUUAUGUCUCCUUCAUACACAUGCUCAGAUGUGCCUAUCAUGAUAUUUGAUGUCUACUUGUUAUUCAGUUUGCUUUACAUACCAGUACAUGUUUUGUAUGUAUUGACGUCCCUAUUAUUUUGGCGUUUCAUUUGUAUCACUACAGGCUCAGGUACUCAGGACAACAAGCAUUUUCAGUAGACUAGAGACUUCCAGUUUAGCAGUUGGUAAGCUCCACCUCUACUUGGAGCUAUCAGAUAUUUAGAGCCUAUAUUUUGCUACGUUUGUACAUAUAUCAGAAUGGGUAUGUCGGGGCCCUGUCCCGAGUAGUUAUCAGAUUUUCAGAGGCAUACUCUUUAGAGGCUUCUUAGACUUAGUCUUGUUUCCAUUGUAAAGUAGCCCAAAUGGCCCUUUUGUUAUCUAUGUUUUAGAAUGUGUCUUCAUAUAGGUUCUGCUGCUUAUGAAUCUUCAGCUUUGACAUGAGAUUAGUAAGAUAUUUAGCAGGUGCUUGUGUAUAUCCUUGAUGUCUGCACCUUUCUAGUUAGGGGUGUGACAUAAGUGGAUCCACUAGUGUAUGCUAAAAAGCAUUAAGGAGCAAUUAACAGGCAUAUAUAACACAACGGGAAGUUGAACCAUCACAUACCUCGAAACCAAGCCUGGACACUCCUCAGACAUUUGGGCCUUCCCUUUCCGGAGUCUUUCGGCUUGUUCUUGGUCUAAAACAAUUAAUUAACGCAAAGAUCAAUAAACAAGGCUUAAAUUACCCGGAUUAUAACAAAAUAUCAACCCAAGGACAAACCCAUGAUCCUAAUGCUCAACUAGGUCUUUUCCUACCAUUAACUUUAGGCCAAAACCCUCUCCCAACGAUAAUUCACAAGGAUUCUAAGUUCUAAGAAUCGAAAUACGGAUUAGGGGAGUAAUUAACUUACCUUUGGCGCGAGAAUUCCGGGAAAUUUGAUGAGAAACUUCCCUAGGUCACCCCUUAGCUCUUAAGAACGAGAUUUUGUAGAAAAUAACAUUUUUGGGGUAUUUUCCCGGUUUAAGUCGCAACUGUCCCGCCACUGUGGGUCCCACCCCGCCACAGCGGCCCCGCCCUGGCAGAAUUAAUCCCGCCCCAGCGGCUUGCACAGAGACAAAAACUCCGAAUUUGAGUUCAAGCUCCCAUUUCGCAACACACCUUAAAACCUUGACGUUCUAAAACUACCCUUUCACGCCAAGAUUAGUUUUGGGAGUUCUACUCGCCCGAAUUCAAUUUCGUAAAGCCAUACAUGCUUCUUAACAUCUUGGCUAUUCACUCAUAUGAUCAAACUCAUAAUUAAUUCCCCCAUCCAUUACCGGAUUUCCUAGACCUCACCUGACUCAGAUUUCAUCCAAGUCUAGCCUAGGCGAGAAAUUUCCAAGUUACUACUCAGAAGUUUUCUGGUCCAAAUUCCUUUCCCAUUGGCUUUUCCAUUACGAAGGGAACAUGUCGUUACAUAAAAUUUAAAUUUUAUGAUGGUCAAUGAUCUCAAAUUGAAAAAAAGAGAGAACAUAAAGGUUUGUAUGACUUUUCGUUAUAAAUUAUUAAGUUACGUACCAAAAAUCAACACCUCUAUCCUAAAGGUCUCUAGAUAAUGAUAGAUUAACUUAUACUAGUGUUAGUUAUCUAUCUCUCUCUUUGUUAAUAUGGAUCCAUUUUGGAUUCAACUCUAUGGCUUAGUAUGAAGGAAAAUAAAUAUAUUCACGUAAAAUGUUUAUUUUUAAAAUAAGUGAAUUUCUUACUUAUUUUUUAAUAUUUAUAAAAAAAGUAAAAGAUUAUUAUUCCAAAAGCAUUUAUAUAUUAUCUAGCAAAAUAUUAUGCAAGUGGGUAAAAAUGGAGAGUGUGGUUUCGGGGGUGGCGGUCUGGCGAAAGGUGGGAUGGUCAAAGAGUGAGGAUUGGAUGGGUUAGGUGGAUGGAGAUCAGGAGACAAUAAACUUGGAACAUCACUUAUGCAACUUAUUUUCUCUACUUUUAUUAGAAAAAUCAUUUUCCUCAUUUUUAAUGAGCUUAUUUAACAAAACAUAAAAAAUAUUUUAUUCCGUACCAAACACACCCUAGUAUUUAAAGGUACCGGAGUAUUUUGUAUAACGAUGAGUUUUUCAUCCUUCAUGUAACUCAAGUUGAAUAAGAAAAAAAUUCAAUUUAUCGGCUAUAUUUUUACUUUGCUCUAAUCAAUAUAUUAGGAGCGUACUAGCCUAACCGUAGCUUAAUAAAUAAAAAACGGAAGUCCACUUUAGCGAUUAUUUUUUUUAAUCCGCUAGGCGAAGUACUUAGGGCUAGUUUUUUUUAUUAACAAAUAAAGAUAGAAACCUUCAAAGAGAAGAGUACAAGCAAAGGGGGCUAGACCUUAUCUUAGUGAUCCUAUUGCCAUAAUAAAUCUCUACUACUUAACAAGCAUGAAGAAAAUAAAAGCUAGAGAAAACUAGGUAUUCUAUGAUCAUAAUAAAGUUUAUAGUAUUCUCUAUAUUAAUGAUAUUACAAAUGAAGAUACUUAAGUAAUGCAUGAAUAUAAAAGUCAAGAAUAAGAUUGAGUUACAGCCUCACACUUCAAUUUAUAUAUGUAUGAACUAAAAAAAAUAGUUUACCCGUCUAAAGUAACCUGGAGUAUUUUCUUCUUGUCUUCUUCUUCAAAUAUGUCCUACAACACUUGAUAGUUCAUCAAUUCUUCUUACAUUUAUUGGAUCUUGUUAAAGUUAUUGACAAUGUCAUAACAUUUUGCUUUACUAUGAAAAUUGAAUCCUUUUCACCACUCUGCCAAGGGUCACACUUGUGUUAGUGAGUUCAAAAGUUAAUAUAUACAUAUAAAAUUUUAAAAACUGAUCAAAUAUAUAUAUAUAUAUACGGUGUUAUUUUUCAACGAAGUGGGUUCAUAUGAACCCACUUGACCCUCUGUAGGUCCGCCCCUGGUCUCGCCGGCAAGAAGAGCGGUGGCGGCGACGAUUUUCGCCCGUGGAUUUUGGAUGUUACUAGGGUGAAAUAAGGAGACCACUACAUCAAUAUAUAUCUAAUCUUAUAAAGUUUUAUUUAAAGGAUUCAAUAUAUAUAUAUAUCUUAGAGAAAAAAAAUUAAACUCAUUUAAUCAACAUCACCUAAAGUUUAUUAAAAAGAAGGGUAAACUACAUAAAUCUCGUUAGUUUAGAUCCUAAUUACCAGGAUUCACAAUAGUUUAGAAUAUUACUUUCUAUACCAUAUUUUAGCUUUUGGAUACAUGUAUUAUUACUCGUCAGAUACAUGUAUCCGUCAGUUUUAAAAGUCGAGAUAUACGAUUUAUUAGUUUGAAUUAAAGUGGUGUAACUUAUUUCCUUAAUUAAAGAAGUAAUUGAUGAAUAGUUAAGAAUUUAAACGGAUUUACAACAUCAUUUCGGUAUCAAUUUUAACAAUAUUUUCCUAAAAUAGCGAAAUCAUAAAAUAAUAAUAAUUCUCUAAUUGUAAACUUCAUCUUCUUUGCAACAUCUUUUUAAGAUUAAUGAUCUUAGAUUUAUGAUUAAUGAUUUUGUUGGCACGUAUCUUAAUGUUGUUAUCAUGUAUCUCAGAAACAUAUACAAUGUAUAUCUUCUCAAUAGUAAUGAAAUUAGAUGUAAGAGUAAUGAUGUUAUUAUCAUGUAUCUUAGUCCUAUAGCGUGUAACUUUAACGAAUAAUGUAGAUCAAUAUUGUUGCACGUGAUGUGUAUCUCAAACAAAUAAUAUGUAUCGCUUGUUGCACUUGAUGUGUAUCUGGGUGUAAUGGUGUAUCUGUUAUGUUAAAUAAAGUUUGACGUAAUUCUUCCAUUUUGAUUGGGUCGUUCCUAUACUUAGAUCUAUUCUUGACUUGAAUGUUGGCGGAUGAAAAGUCAAACCCUGCAAUGACAAAUUCAUGAAUGAAAAAUAAACAAAUAAAAUGUGUUUGAUUUGUUAUAUUAUUGUUAAUGUGUUGUACCUUUAACAAGAAUCAUCCGAUUUUGUGAAUGGUCAGCGACUCAGUGCCAUUAAAGUAGUUUGAGAAACAACAAAAUCAAGCAAUGUAAACACUAAUUUGUAAUUUUUUUUAUAUUGAACUUUACACCUUUAACAAAAAUCAUCCGAUUUUGUGAAUGAUUAGCCAUUAAAGUAAUUUGAGAAACAACAAAAUCAAACAGUGUAAACCCUAAUUUGUAAAACUUUUUAAUAUUGAACUUACAACAAUAUGAACUCUAUCUCAUAUAGAUGAAGGGAUGAAAACCAAGAUACAUGACAAUAAUGAAACAAUAAAAACAAACUUCUAUGAUAUAAAUAUUAAAAGUUGUAAUAUAUAUGGAUAAGGGUCUAAAAAAUACCCCAACUUUGGUCGGAUUUGCUGUUGCGAUACUAAACUUUCAUGAGGACCUAUUACCUCCUUAGACUAUUUAAUACCGUAUUUUUUACCCCCUGAACUAUUUAAUAGUGUAUUUUAAAGGUAUAUAUCUGCCCACGUGGACACAUUAUUAUUUAUAAUUUUGCAUUAUUUUUUAUGUCCACGUGNNNNNNNNNNNNNNNNNNNNNNNNNNNNNNNNNNNNNNNNNNNNNNNNNNNNNNNNNNNNNNNNNNNNNNNNNNNNNNNNNNNNNNNNNNNNNNNNNNNNNNNNNNNNNNNNNNNNNNNNNNNNNNNNNNNNNNNNNNNNNNNNNNNNNNNNNNUAAUAUAUAUGUAAUUAUUUUAAACUAAAAAUAAGAUAAGUAUAUAUGAUAGUAAUGUAUGUCUAGUUAUAUUGAAUUUCGACGUGUUUGACCCAUGAAAAAGAAUUAGGCGCACAUAAGAGGGACGUGUUGAGAAUACAAUUAAAGAAUAAAAUGUGUUCUCUCUAACAACUUACUUAGACUUUUAGAUGAGAUGAUCACAUUCUAAUUACUACUACUUAAUGCUUAACUCAUUAACAUUUUCAACAUCUUGUGACUCAUGCAUUACCAAUUAAUCAACAGCAGACAAUAAUUGACUUUGCAUAUGCUACUAAAACUAGUAUUUAAUUUGAAGUGAUAAUAUCUAUCGUACAUUUACUGUUAAGUGCUACAGUGGCCUUGUGAUAAUUUAGUAUAAAUAUCCAUCGUCAGAAGUUAGUAACACAUCAUCUUAAGAAUUAUAAACUCCUUAAUUAAUUCAUAUUCUCUACAUUUCAACAUGGCUUCCAAAACAACUCACUCCUCAGUUACCCUUUUCCUAUCACUGAAUCUCCUCUUCUUUGCUCUUGUAACUGGACAACAAACGUGCCCAACUUUGAGACUUGGGGUAUGUGCUAGUAUACUUAACGUGGUGAAUGUAACAGUUGGGUCUCCACCAACUAUGCCAUGCUGCAGUUUGAUCCAGGGACUGACGGACCUAGAGGCCGCGGCUUGCUUGUGCGCUGCCAUAAGAGCAAAUGUUUUGGGAAUAAUUACUCUGAAUCCGACAGUCCCUAUUAACCUCAUUCUCAGCGCCUGUGGAAGGAGCCUUCCUGCUGACUUCACUUGUUAAACUACCCUCCUAAUAAAUAAAUAAAUGUCUCGUCGUGCUUAAUUAUUAAUUAGUAUGAAUUAAUGGUGCACGUAUGAUCGAUCCUUUUUAUUAGUUGAAAUAAGU